AGAGAGAACAGUGGUGUAUCAAGUUAUAGGAAGGUUUAUUAUGGCGCACAUUGCUACGUUCUGCCCUGCCGCAUGGAAGAUCCCUGGAACUUCGACAGCUCAAACUCCUCUUAGCUUUUUAAAAUCUCUCUGGCCUAGUGUGAUCUGAAUGGUAACCACAUUUUGACUGAGUACUUCUAUUAAUAUAAUCUAAUUUCUAGACCACAAACCAAAGGGUGUUAUAGGCUCAGCUGCCUCCUGCUCCUGCUGUUCAUUUUAGGGAUAUAACUGUGGAAAUUUAGGAAGAAGCCACACUUUCAUUGUGCGAUCUUGGCUGGCUGUGAUCAGAAAAUUCUCUUUUGUUCUGGAAAAAAAGACAAACCGGGUAGAAAAAGAGCGAUAUAG